GCGGGACGCAAGUGCGAUGGAGGUGAUCUUGCGCACCUCCAUCGUCCACCAGCUGCUCGAGAUGGAGUCCGUGGCCGGCGAGAAGACCAGCGGCGUGGCGGACAGGCCCGUCGUAAGCCAUGUAUGAGCAGGGUGUUGGCCGCUCGUCCUCUGUCCCGAGUUUAGGUUGCCCGUAUGAGAAAAGAGAGAAGAGGAUUAAUCUUCCUCUGCCAGAUCUGAGAAAAAAGAGAAAAGGAUGAAUCUUGAGGAAGAGCUUGGUGAAGAACAAGGUUCGAGGAUGUAAAUCUAUCUGAUAUGUUGUUGAUGGGGAUUAAGAUUAUUGUAUUGACAUAUCUGAAAGUAUUCUACUGACAUAUCUG